GGAGGAAUUCCCGAGUGGCCAAAGGGGGCAGACUGUAAAUCUGUUGGCAGCGCCUUCGCUGGUUCGAAUCCAGCUUCCUCCACCA
rnacentral:tRNA from 1 species